rnacentral:sRNA from 1 species
CCCGGGUUCGAGUCCCGGCAACGGAGUUUUUUUAAUAGUUUUUCUUUU